UAAAAAUCGAUGAUAGAAAGAGUAACCCUGCGAAAAGGACUCAGAAACAGGUACCUUGGCUGAAAGUGCCUGACUUUAGCAGAAGUGAAAGACAUUCUGGAGAUGAGUAGUGAAAAGCUAUUCCGCUUACGAGGCGUUAGUCGGUUGAGUGGAAAGAAAAUAGAAUUUCUUUCAAUUAUAGGUGGUACCACGUAUCGAAUUAUACGUCCUUGUG
rnacentral:ncRNA from 1 species